rnacentral:miRNA from 1 species
GAGAGUCUGUGAAAUGAAGAGA